UACGGGGGGGGUAAGCGUUGUUCGGAAUUACUGGGCGUAAAGGGCUCGUAGGCGGCCAACUAAGUCGGACGUGAAAUCCCUCAGCUUAACUGGGGAACUGCGUCUGAUACUGGAUGGCUUGGAUUUGGGAGAGGGAUGCGGAAUUCCAGGUGUAGCGGUGAAAUGCGCAGAUAUCAGGAGGAACACCGGUGGCGAAGGCGGUUCUCUGGGCAUUACCUGACGCUGAGGAGCGAAAGUGUGGGGAGCGAACAGG
rnacentral:rRNA from 1 species